rnacentral:rRNA from 1 species
AUUGGUGUACUCAUGAUUAUGCGGGUCACGGAGGGAAAGUAUGACACAGUCCAACUCCCGAGGGACCCCCCGGACUGCGAUGUGAGAAUGGGAUACUAUAAUGGGACAUUGCCCAGGAGGUCCAUCUUAGCGAACAAUGAGAGAGGGAUAUUCUAUGUGGUGCUCAAUGUGUUACAACUCCAUGUGUGGGCACUGUCAGAUUCGCCUGAUAGACAACUAGGGUGGACACUGGCACACAAGACGGACUUGAAUGCACAAUAUCAUAUGAUAGAUCAAUGGAAAUUUAAACCAGUAUGUACAUGGGAGGUGAUUGAAAGCAAGGAAGAACUACUCAGCUUGGUUGAACAUGAA